GGAAAAGCCACAAAAAUCGUUAGCAAGUUUCACGAGAGUUUUUUCUACUUUUUUUCUUACCUCUCCAUGCAUGGUCAUGCCCAUAGCUCCACCGUGCUGAUGCGCUACUCCGUAGAUAAUGCUACCCCCUUUCGGAAUCACCAGGUGAUUCUCCAGCUGAUAAAUACAAUCGGGAUUCGAGGACGGGUCGCAAGCAGGAACGUCAUACUCAACCUGCAGAACGAUCGUAAGAAAACAAAAGAAAAAAGUUUACAAUCAGGACAAACGAACCUUGCAGCCAACGUGACGGUCGAUUGGAUCCCGCUUCCUGCUGUCUGUGAUGUCGAAUAUAUAAGCACGAACAGGCAGGACACACUCGUCCCACUCCACCCAUUCGAUGGUGUAUUGCAUGUAAAGAGUCUUCUUUGGUGCUUGAAAUCCCGGCUUCACUGCGCAUUUAGUCCCCUCGUAGCAGCAGUGCAGACCGCCUUUGUAGCCCUGCUUCAAAGGCUGUCCAGAGGCGUCUGUUGUGACGUUGUACAAGCUGCACCGGCACUCGAGGCAUCCUUGGGGAUCGUAUGUUCCUCUGGUGUCGAUGGCAUGGACGUUGAGCACCCAGAGCUCCUCGUAGCCUUCUGGAGGAUUGCCAACGCCGAUAGCAUAGGAGCCUGGAACAAAGUAGCUCGUGUGCCUCGUCUCGGAUCCAAGACCCCAGAACUGCGACAGGACGUUGUGCUGACAAAUUCCAUCGUUUCCAGCGAUUAUAGCCGAUGGCGAGCCUAGACGAUCCUGUCCAUGAUGGAAGCCGCCUCUUACCAGCUCUUUUCUCUCGGAGCUCUUCACAUAGAGGCUAAAUACUACCCAGUGAUGCAGAUAGACGUCGCUCAGAGGCACGGGAUUCCCAAGCUCGUCUACAACCUCUCCCUGGAAGUUCUUGACACCGAUGUGACCUUUGGGAAACUCGAGCUCGUAGUGUCGGUCUUGGACCUCUCCCGGCCCCAGAGCAAAGGCUGGAGACUUGUAAGUCUUCUUCUGAAUUCUGGAAGAUCUGGAGCAGUCCUUCGAUUCUGCUGGAGAUGAAGAUAGUAGCAAAGCGAUGAGCACGACGAGAACCAAAAGCUUCCCGUCCAUCUUUAGUUGCUAUUCACCCCCACCCCGCUCCAUCUGCUAAAUAGGAAAUCAGGACAAAGCUUGGAAGCUUCCUCCGCGAGACUUCUGUUCACUUCUGUUCGUAGCCUUUUUGUUUGUUUCCCAGAAACUUAUCCCGAUCAGUCCCAUUGAUGCAGCCACCACUUGGGUCGUAAGACCUUCACCUGUAUGCUUGCCAUCCCGCCACCUAUGCUUAGCCGUUUGGAAACCGCUUCCAGCCUCACAAGAGCGAAUCCCCGGGAGCCAAGUGCCGUUGUUACAGUGCCCAUCUUCUUGGACGAUUCUGCGUCGACGAUUUCAGCACCAUGACUCACUGCCUCACUGAUUUCUGCAAUGACACGUAAAUCACAAAUAAGAAACUCUAGACCACACGGCUCAUCUCACCUUCGCCAUCCUUGUCAAGAAAAAUCACCGGCAUUACGCGCUUUCUUAUCACUCCUCGGUGGUGUGUGCGAGCAACAAGCUCCUGGCCCACAUAGCAACCUUUGUCGAAGUCGAUCGCGUUCAGACCUUCAAGAUUGUACUCGAGAGGAAUGGCCUCCCCUGUCAAUCACUAGAUUUAAGAAAAACUGAACACAGCAAGCGAAAAAGAGAGAAAACCUCCACGAAUUUCUGCCGGUCCCUCUGGAAUUCCUUGUUCCAACCUCCACAACAGAUAAUACUGCUCGUCAACCUCUUGAUCGGCAUCAAUCAAUGGAGCUGCCAAAGGAAAAAAAACGUGUAACUGUUGUUAUAGAUCAGCGUCACUAUGAAACUUACGAGUGGAUUCCACCGGAAAGAUACCUCGGAAGCCGAGACAUCCUGUCCGGGGAUCUUUAUGCCAACGCCAGCCUUGGACAUUGCUAGAGGCAGAAGUAUUCCCAGCAACAUCACGCCCAGCACCCCACCCUACAGAGCCCUCGUUGUCACCUUCGCACUCCAGAGCACCUCCAAACCUCUGCCAGACUGCAAGCUCUUUUGACAUGUCCGAGAAAGAAAUUUUUGCACGCAGUUUGUGCCUGAAACAAGUGAAAGUUCGUCAAAAAGACAAGGAGAAAAAAGAACAAAGUACAAAGUACAAACCUCGUCAGGUGUGCAAACAAAUCGCUGACACUCUCCGCAUCAACGUCUGCUACCAGCUUUGGAGCCGACUUCUCGCUUCCGGGGCCCGUUCCCGAUCUGUCCAACUUCUCCGUGGAUUGCACCGGCUUAAAAACCACCAUGUCAAACAGAAACCUUCCCUGUGGAUUCAAGAUGGCCGUGUAGAGAGGAGGCUGCACCACCGCUGGCUGGUUGAGAGUGGGAUGCGGUAGCCUCGUCGGAGAAUCCUGCUCGAGCUUGUUCAUGUUGUUCGUCGUCAAGCCCUGGAGGAACUUGAUAACAUCCUCUCCUUCAAAUCCAAUGACCGCUCGGCUGCUCAGCUUGCACGCAAAAGGACCUUUCUCGGCUAGCAGCGUCGGACCCCCGGAAGAUAACUCGGACGCUCGAGAAGGAAACGACGGCGACGAGUGGAAGGAAAAGCUUCUCACAUUUUUAGCACAGCCACGGCCCCUGUAUCCUCCACCUCCCAGCAAGCGCCAGACUGUAGCAGCCGCCAUCGUUGGAAAUUUUCUUUCUGCUUAUACCCUAGGUUCUUUUCUUCAAGAACUCCGCCAAGUGCGUGACACUCGGGCUUCAUGCAUGGGCUGGCUCGAUAGUGGCUUUCUUCCUCGUUGCUAACUUUCUCUUCUCCAUUUCCUACACGCUACUGUUCUAUCCUUGAGUUUCUUGCGCGUGGCAUUCUAUAGCUCUUCAUAUCCGGACUUCUGCUCGUUCUAGCCUUCCAGUUUCCCGGCCCUUGACUCUGCUGUUACUCGAGUUGCUGAAUUCCCCGCGAGUAGCAUUCUAUAAAUGUGCUAUAGAGUUUACUUGAGAACUACAGAGCCUUGAACGUAAUCGUCGGGAAGACACCUGAUGCGCUUCAAGACAUCGGCAUUUGGAUACCUGAGCUUUGUUCGAGGAUCCGUGUAAGGUGCCUUUACAAGGAGAAAAUACCGAAAGAGGGGAUUACUCGGUGGAGAAAUGGCGAAACAGCACCUUACCUCAAAUCCAGAGAAUUUCUUGGAAGGAUUCUCGCUGAUGAGCCUAACUGUGAGUUUCUGAUUGUACAUUUGCAGAUGUUAACAUCGAAUCACCUCCUUCCAUGUAUCGCAACGACAGAUGACAAUUUUGCGGAUGAUGAGAAUGAGAAGGGGGAACUCCUGGAUUUAUACAUCUAACUUCUAACAUGUUCUCCAUCUGGUGUGUUGUUCCCUGCUACUUUCUUAUCCAUGGCUGCGGGUGCUAGCGUCUCCAAACUUCUUGUGGUUGCGGCAAUUCUCAUGUUCACAUUUCUGGCUAGCAUUGAGUUUGCGCACGGGGGGUGUUGUUAUACAACCACUUUAUUCAACUACUUCAAGGUGGUAGCAAUCCAAGUUUUGAAGUGCGAAAACACAGGAGCUCCUUACGCGCGAAAUGGGGAUUGAUGCAAAGGAGGGUGUCUGUAUCAAAUUGGAAUUUGUGUUGGCUGGUAGGUGCCAACAUGACAUUGUGCCAUAAGGUUUCCUCUCGCUUGCAUCCUGGUCACAAUGUCGCAAUUUCUAGAAAAGGAUUUCUUCCAGUUGUGCAAAUCUACACUGAGGACAGUACUAUUUUUGUUAGUUUUUCUUCUGCUUAGUUGCUUUUUGGCCUGUGAUCUUCUAGGAGCACAAGUUUGUAGGCGAGCUUGUAAAUCUUAUAGGAAAAAAGUGAGUGGCAGAACCUGGAGAAGGUACUUUCUUCUUUGAUUGCGCUUUCCAUUCCAGUUGACGAGAUUGGAUUGGAGGCAAAAAAUAACAACUGUGUCACUUGUUUUGAUGAAUAUCGAGUCUCAGGUUAGUGUAGGUUUAUAAAUUUAUUUGUGCACUUUGGUGCUUUGGAUGAUCUUUGUGGUAAGUAAAGCAGGCUGUCAGAAGCACAAUGUCCUGCAAAAAUAUGCCUCCCACUUUUUAUAUAAAAAGUAUAUUCAUUAGAUAUUUCAUAGCGGGCCAGCUCAAACGAGCAAUGCACUGUAUCUUUCAUGGGACUCUGGUUUCUUGUUCCAGAUGGUAAAUCCGACCGCUAGUGCAAGCACCACAACGAUUCCAAGCGUGACCACCAUCACAUUAACUCUAUUUUUCACGUCCUGCAGCGGAGAAAAGCAAUCACUCAAUCUAACAAACAAGUAAAAAACGUACCUUGAUUUCUCCUAGAGACACAGUGUCAUUGUCGCUCACCAUGAGAUAGAAGAUUCCCAUGACACCCGUGUGCUCCUGGGCAGAACUAUAAGAUGAGGAGAAGUGGAGCUUCUCACCGCUCGCGACCAUCAGAGUCCCUGGCUUAGGAAUGCAUGUAGACAUUCCAACAACGUAGCCAUCUUCGUUGCCAGGAGAUGAUCCAUUCCCGUAUAGAGGAGUCGAGGAGCACAAGUGCCGACCAUCCUGGAAAAGCCGCACAAAUUGACAGUCAUGAGAGUUUUUUUUACUUCUUCUUACCUCUCCAUGCAUGCUUAUGCCCAUGCCUGCAGCGUGCUGAUGUCCUACUCCAUAGAUAAUGCUACCCCCUUUUGGAAUCACCAGGUGAUUCUCCAGCUGAUAAAUACAAUCGGAAUUUGAGGACGGGUCACAAGCGGGAACGUCAUACUCGGCCUGCAAGACAAUCGUAAGAAACAUAAGAGAAACUUUUAGAAUGAGGAAAAACGAACUUG
rnacentral:lncRNA from 1 species